rnacentral:rRNA from 1 species
UACGUAGGGUGCAAGCGUUAAUCGGAAUUACUGGGCGUAAAGCGUGCGCAGGCGGUUUUGUAAGUUUGUCGUGAAAUCCCCGGGCUCAACCUGGGAAUUGCGAUGAAGACUGCAAGGCUUGAAUCUGGCAGAGGGGGGUAGAAUUCCACGUGUAGCAGUGAAAUGCGUAGAGAUGUGGAGGAACACCGAUGGCGAAGGCAGCCCCCUGGGUCAAGAUUGACGCUCAUGCACGAAAGCGUGGGGAGCAAACAGG